GCUUCUUAUACAUCCUAACACUUGUUGCUCGCCAUGAAUCGCCAAACGUUUUUCGUUCUUUUGCUUGUUGCGGGGAUUUUGUUGACUAUCUCCGAAGUUGAAGGAAAACUCGGACAUUUCAGUAGCGUGCGAAAACCGUUAAGAAGAAAGAGAGAAAAUAAUGGUUUCCCUGAAAAUGGACGAUCCGGUCUUCGCGUUGGUCCAAAUAAAAAUAGCGGAAGAGAAAGUUCUAGAGACGGUAGCAGUGGUUCUGGGUGAUUUGCAAACAACGUAUUUUGACUGAAAGAAACUGAUUUGGACAUUUAUUCCUGAAACUAUUUUUUCCUUUCAAUCUUACUGUUGUGUGAAAUUUUGAAUUAUUCUUGAUUUGCUUUUACCCAUAUAACUCCUUUUUUCUCAUAAAUUAAUAAAGACAAUAUUCAGCUUUCA